rnacentral:rRNA from 1 species
GGUGUCGCUGAUGGAUGGACCCGCGGUGCAUUAGCUAGUUGGUGAGGUAACGGCUCACCAAGGCCACGAUGCAUAGCCGACCUGAGAGGGUGAUCGGCCACAUUGGGACUGAGACACGGCCCAAACUCCUACGGGAGGCAGCAGUAGGGAAUCUUCGGCAAUGGACGAAAGUCUGACCGAGCAACGCCGCGUGAGUGAAGAAGGUUUUCGGAUCGUAAAACUCUGUUGUUAGAGAAGAACAAGGAUGAGAGUAACUGUUCAUCCCUUGACGGUAUCUAACCAGAAAGCCACGGCUAACUACGUGCCAGCAGCCGCGGUAAUACGUAGGUGGCAAGCGUUGUCCGGAUUUAUUGGGCGUAAAGCGAGCGCAGGCGGUUUCUUAAGUCUGAUGUGAAAGCCCCCGGCUCAACCGGGGAGGGUCAUUGGAAACUGGGAGACUUGAGUGCAGAAGAGGAGAGUGGAAUUCCAUGUGUAGCGGUGAAAUGCGUAGAUAUAUGGAGGAACACCAGUGGCGAAGGCGGCUCUCUGGUCUGUAACUGACGCUGAGGCUCGAAAGCGUGGGGAGCAAACAGGAUUAGAUACCCUGGUAGUCCACGCCGUAAACGAUGAGUGCUAAGUGUUGGAGGGUUUCCGCCCUUCAGUGCUGCAGCUAACGCAUUAAGCACUCCGCCUGGGGAGUACGACCGCAAGGUUGAAACUCAAAGGAAUUGACGGGGGCCCGCACAAGCGGUGGAGCAUGUGGUUUAAUUCGAAGCAACGCGAAGAACCUUACCAGGUCUUGACAUCCUUUGACCACUCUAGAGAUAGAGCUUCCCCUUCGGGGGCAAAGUGACAGGUGGUGCAUGGUUGUCGUCAGCUCGUGUCGUGAGAUGUUGGGUUAAGUCCCGCAACGAGCGCAACCCUUAUUGUUAGUUGCCAUCAUUCAGUUGGGCACUCUAGCAAGACUGCCGGUGACAAACCGGAGGAAGGUGGGGAUGACGUCAAAUCAUCAUGCCCCUUAUGACCUGGGCUACACACGUGCUACAAUGGGAAGUACAACGAGUUGCGAAGUCGCGAGGCUAAGCUAAUCUCUUAAAGCUUCUCUCAGUUCGGAUUGCAGGCUGCAACUCGCCUGCAUGAAGCCGGAAUCGCUAGUAAUCGCGGAUCAGCACGCCGCGGUGAAUACGUUCCCGGGCCUUGUACACACCGCCCGUCACACCACGAGAGUUUGUAACACCCGAAGUCGGUGAGGUAACCUUUUUGGAGCCAGCCGCCUAAGGUGGGAUAGAUGAUUGGGGUGAAGUCGUAACAAGGUAGCCGUAUCGGAAGGUGCGGCUGGAUCACCUCCUUU